rnacentral:rRNA from 1 species
UACGUAGGGCGCAAGCGUUGUGCCGGAAAUUAUUGGGCGUAAAGAGCUCGUAGGCGGUUUGUCACGUCGGAUGUGAAAGCCCGGGGCUUAACCCCGGGUCUGCAUUCGAUACGGGCAGACUAGAGUGUGGUAGGGGAGAUCGGAAUUCCUGGUGUAGCGGUGAAAUGCGCAGAUAUCAGGAGGAACACCGGUGGCGAAGGCGGGUCUCUGGGCAUUAACUGACGCUGAGGAGCGAAAGCAUGGGGAGCGAACAGG